GUCGCUAUAGUUUAUAAAAAACCUUAGUCUUGUAAACUAAAAUAGGGUGUCCCUGUCGACU
rnacentral:tRNA from 1 species